CUGCCCGGAUUAGACCGGGAGAAGGAGGUUGUUUUGAUCGUUGACGGCUCUUUCUUCCUCCCUUCCUUUUUCUCUUUCCUCUUUCUUUUUCCUCCCUUCCCUCGUUUGUGAACCCACCCCACACCUCCUUCCCUCCCUCCGCGGGCCAAAGCUGAAUCUUUCGGGCUGUUGAGCAAGUUGGAACUGUGGGGCCGUUUUCUGCAUAAAUAAGGCUUGGUGAAUGGCAGAGCCAGAUAUAAAGUCUGAUUCAAAGGCUCAAAAGAAAGCAGGGGCGAUGAGGUGGGCAUGCCCGAGGAAGCAUUUCCCCAGCAUGGCCCUCUGAGUCAUGUCUUGCACCAGGAGGAGAAAAACACAUCAUCACAUCACGCCACAAUAUGUCACAUGCCUCCAACAGAGACAUGGGCCUGCACUGUGGGGGACAUAGCUCCUUCCUCCCCAGCUGGGUCAGCACAGUGAGGAGCAACAGAGGCAGGCAGAGACGGAGCUACUGGUCCCAAGGCGCUCUCCCCUCCCUUACCAUUGACCUUGGAUAAAGACAAUACUAACAGGGCACAGUGCCCGCUAGGUGCAGAGGCCUGUACAUAGCCAGUCACUGAAUCUUCCUCACCACCCUAGAAGACACCAUCUUUUAUACCCCAUAUCCACAUAAGGAAUCUGGGCCUAAAGUCACACAGCUGGUGGGUACAGAGUCAGCCCAGCAUGCUGGCUCUAGAGUCUGCAGUGUGACCACAAAAAAUCCAAGCCCCAGACUAGACAUCAGGACAUGGGGAUGGUGACACCUACCUGGGGAACUUGGAGGGUGGGUUGAGAGUGCUGGGCACAGAGCAUGAGUUCAUACUGCCGUUACCUUGGCUUUCGGUGUGUUUGGGUAUUUGGUUUAUUUUCCUUCCUUCUCUCCACCCCACCCCCCACUCGUUCUCACCCACCUGGAGCUUCAUUAUGACCCACCCCAACAACCACAUAUACAUACACACAUGCACCCUGUCAGAGUAACCAUAGCCCCACCUCCCCCCAGCCCUCAGCCUCCUCCUACCACCUGCUCAGAUCAAGCCAGGUGAGACUUUUUUACCUCCUUUUAUUUUUGCCCGAACCUCAUCACCCCGUAACACUCUUAUCAUGAUUGGCAGUUUGUCUGCCUGCCUCCUUAUGUGCCAUCAAGAACACAAGCCCCAUGAGUAAGGGAUGCUAUUUUGCUCAGGAAUGGACGCAUGGAUCCUGCACACAAAAGCCAAGUUUGCGGCACAGAAGUUCCCUGAGUCUUUGAUGGAUGGAGGAAUGGAUGGAUGAACGAAAGGGUGAAGUUUCUGCCCUGCUGACCACCCCUCCUGUCUUUGUGCAUGUGGGCAACGCCUCCUAAAACCUGGCCAUGCUUCUCACUCCUGUGCCUUCCUCUGGUCACCUAUCCCUCAUAGCGCUUGUCCCUCCAGGCCUGACCUACCCUCCUUUCCUUCCUACUGGCUCUUCAAGAACCCUGUUUCCUUUGAGACUCACCCUCUGUCCUGUGAGCCUCCCAAUUGAUUCACACGACUCUUUCACAUCCUGGAUGGGUUUCUGGACCACGAUUCCCUUAGUUCCACAGGAUGGGGAAUGUGAUAGUGCUGUCACAUUUCUGCAAGGGUCUCCACUUUCCCAGUGUCUUCUGUCCCUAACCACAGCCUCAGCUCACUGUCCUUCACCCAGAGAAUGGUUUCACCUGCUGGUCCUUAGCAUCCAUAUGGCCCAUCUGAUACCUGGACUUCUAGACCAUUAGCUCCCAUCUCCAGGGACCCUCGCCCCUAAUGUCCAUCUCCUGUCUAUGGCCUAACUUGGGCCAGGCUACCCCUUCAUACCUGUUUCAACCAUUUCAACCCCAACAUUUCCGCGCUUUGGUCUCAUUCUCCAACAGUCCCAAUAGUUCAGUCAUCUGAGUAACCGCCUCUCUUGCACCCCAGAAUCCUUCUCUUCACUCAUCUGGCCAUGGUUUUCCCAGACUACAUCAAUCGCAUCCCUCCCAGCCAUUUAAGUCGAGGCUAGCCUGAACAGCAGUUUGGGGCCAUAACAACAUGGGGGCUCCAGGCUUGGCUGGACCCAUAGCCUUCGCAGUGUUCACUGACUGACUGCCUCUUUCCUAUCUCCUGUGCGUUCUUUGUCUCCCUGACCCUUUUUCAUCAACCCAGGACUCCUGUCCACUCCUAGAGACACUGACUUCAUCCAAAUUAUGAAGUCCUUCUGCUGGGUCCUGUUGCCCCCUGAGUAUCCCUGUUACUCUUCAGACUCACUUGGUAAAGAAAGCUCUUCUGGCCACAGAUAGCCUGACAUCCUGGCCAACCUGGACAGGGUCUGUGCUUGUAUUUCUCCCAGGGAGCCCUCCAUGACUCUCCUGGGCCCCAGAGCCUCCCUCUCUCCCCACACUUAGCACUGCCAUCAAGCUUUCUAUCACAUUCCCACCCACAGCAAACCCUCAAGGCAUCCAUCCACCAAGUACCUGUGUAGUAAUGCAGUUGGCUACCCUUCUCACUGUUACAGCCCUGUCCUUUGGGGGCUGCUUUGGGGACCCGUUGUCCGGGACCACCCCCCACCUCUCUGGUCAUCCCUAAUCUCUUGUAGAACCUUCCUCUCCUCCCCUCUAAAGGUCAAGGUUGGAGGAAGCUGAUCUCCCUCUGCACUGCCCUCCUGUCUCCUCCAGUGGUGAUGGUUUCCGCCCGUUUUGCCCCACACCUCCCAGAGAUGCUGUGCUCGGCUGGAUCGCCCUGACUCACUCCCACACUCUCCUGGUAUUCUUCCUACCACACAGCCUAAGGCUGACCACAAGUGAGAUCAGCCCUGAGUCUGAAGCUUGCUCCCUGCUCCCAGCCUCACACCUCCUGCUGGACUCAGCCCGGAGAGGCUGGCCCCAGCUCAUCUAGGGCAUCCAGAGACUAGGUCUUGACACCUGACCUCAGCAGGGUUUAUCAAUGCAUUUUUUGCCAAGUCCAAAGUAAAGCCCCAUCGCUCUUGUCUGAGCUAUUGUAACAAUCUCCCCACCUCUUGCCGUCUCUUACUUAAGUGAGUCGGCUGCCUUAAGACUGUCUGAAACACAGCCUCAAACAAGCAUCUUGUCAGCUCUAAAGCCUGCAUCAGGAACUCAAACUACUAAGAGUGGCAGGCCAACCUGGUCUCUGAGAGCCCUCAAGUGCCCCCCACACCCACCCCAAUCCAUGCAUGAAGCUUUAAUCGCUUUCCGCGGCUUUGGGCUCUGUUUCAUGCAUUAGCAGCACUCUGCCCCAUUCACAGUCUGCUCAAUUCUUUCUUGUCUUUUGAGAGACCAUCUUGGGCCUCUCUCCUGGGAAGCCUUCCUAACUCCCUGCUCUGCCCAAGGAUGCUUUGCUCUGGAAUCAAAAUCCAAGGCUGAGGGACCUGCUAAAGAGGCCAUCUUCUCCAUAGGUUACAGGACUCUUUCUUGACACCUGGAACCUCUGCAACCAAGAACCAAUUGGGUACUCGGCAGAGGCAGGGAGGAGGGUACCAUCCGGAUGCCCAGCUGUCCUCUUCAGGCACUGCCCCAAGAACAGGAUAAGGAAUCAGCCUGGUUCUGCUGCUAACCCUGGUGGGAUUUGAGCUGGUUCCUCUGGCUCUGGGCCUCAGUUUCCCCUUCAUAAAGGACGGACACGGAGGAGUCUUCUGGCCUUUGAAGAACUACAUAUGGAAUGCCUGGGGUCUUUGGAUGAAAUUUUGCCCAGCUCUACAGGAACCCUGAAGACUCAGCCUCGCCUUUCUGUGCGCUCUCUGUAUGUCUCGUACUUCAUCUAGUUGUCACACAUAAAUGCAGAGCAGUGGAUCGGGGUAUAUAUAGCUAAGUUUGCUUGAGUGCUUGUCUAGAAUGUACAAGGCCCUAGGUUUAAUCCUUAGCACAAAAAUAAACGGGGCAAUGGUAGUACACUCAGGUUGUGGAGGCACGUGGAUCACAAUGCCAAGAUCGUAGUUGGCUACAUAUCAAGUUUGAGCUAGCCUGAGCAACAUGAGAAACAGUAUUUUAGAAGAAGAAGUAGUCAAGCAAGUAGCCAGUUUGUGGGGGUGGGGGUGGGGAGCUGGUUUUAUGGCGGUCAGUAGACUAGAAUCUAAUCCAGCAAGAUCACAGGGAGACAUGGCUUGGCCCCUCUGAGCUGGUUUGACCCAGACAUACAGGUCAAUCCUAGCUGUGGUGGCAUUUACUAUCUAUCUCGUGCCAGGAUCACAGAGUUAGUCGGGAACUCAGUCUAGGCAUGCUCAGACCAUCUGUGAGACUUGAUGGAAGGCAUGAGACGCUCAGUCAGCACUGGGCUACAAGGCCAGCAUCAGGGAGGGACAGGUGGGAUGUGGCCCCGACAAGAGCCUCGGCUGUGCCUUGAGUGGGGGGACUCGGGACAUUUGGGCAGUGCUCCAUAAAAGAGGUAGGGUUUCAAGAGAGGGCAGAAGAGCAGAGCCAAGGCACAACUGUGACCCUGUCACUCCUAAUAAAAGCCUUCUUUGCCUCCUGA